CACGGGGGGAGCAAGCGUUGUUCGGAAUUACUGGGCGUAAAGGGCGCGUAGGCGGCCUUCUAAGUCGAACGUGAAAUCCCCGGGCUCAACCCGGGAACUGCGUCCGAUACUGGAAGGCUUGAAUCCGGGAGAGGGAUGCGGAAUUCCAGGUGUAGCGGUGAAAUGCGUAGAUAUCUGGAGGAACACCGGUGGCGAAGGCGGCAUCCUGGACCAAUUCUGACGCUGAGGAGCGAAAGCCAGGGGAGCAAACGGG
rnacentral:rRNA from 1 species